CCUACGGGAGGCUGCAGUGAGGAAUAUUGGUCAAUGGGCGCGAGCCUGAACCAGCCAAGUAGCGUGAAGGAUGACUGCCCUAUGGGUUGUAAACUUCUUUUAUAAAGGAAUAAAGUUAAGCAUGUAUACUGUUUUGUAUGUACUUUAUGAAUAAGGAUCGGCUAACUCCGUGCCAGCAGCCGCGGUAAUACGGAGGAUCCGAGCGUUAUCCGGAUUUAUUGGGUUUAAAGGGAGCGUAGACGGGUUUUUAAGUCAGUUGUGAAAGUUUGCGGCUCAACCGUAAAAUUGCAAUUGAUACUGGCAGUCUUGAGUACAGUAGAGGUAGGCGGAAUUCGUGGUGUAGCGGUGAAAUGCUUAGAUAUCACGAAGAACUCCGAUUGCGAAGGCAGCUUACUAAACUGCCACUGACAUUGAUGCUCGAAAGUGUGGGUAUCAAACAGGAUUAGAUACCCGUGUAGUC
rnacentral:rRNA from 1 species